rnacentral:rRNA from 1 species
UAAGAAGAAAGUACUUUUUGUGCUGCUGAUAGAGGAGCCUGCGCUUGAUUAGCUUGUUGGUGGGGUAAUGGCCUACCAAGGCGACGAUCAAUAGCCGGCCUGAGAGGGUGUACGGCCACACUGGGACUGAGACACGGCCCAGACUCCUACGGGAGGCAGCAGCUAAGAAUCUUCCGCAAUGGGCGAAAGCCUGACGGAGCGACACCGCGUGGAUGAAGAAGGCCGUGAGGUUGUAAAAUCCUUUUAUUGUUGAGGAAUAAUUAUUAUGCUUAAGUGUAAUAUGAUGACGGUAGGCAAUGAAUAAGCCCCGGCUAAUUACGUG